rnacentral:lncRNA from 1 species
AAUCGCAUUAUUUUCAACAGGUCUUCUAUGAGCACAAUUAAGCACCUGUGUCAAAAGGAAAUGUUUUCCUGAAGCCUGACCUGACUAACAAUGUGCUUUGCAUAUAUAACCUGUGAACUACCUUGGGAAUUUGAAGUGCUUUAUAAACAUUAAGACCCCCUCAUGUGUGUUUGUAACAUCAGCCUGUGUAAACCUGGAAUUUCCUGACUUGUGAAACUCGUGGGUUGUUUCUUCCUGAGCUCAGCCACUGCAAACUUUGUCAUUCAUAGGAGGCAGAAGGCACAGCGCCGCCUUCGAGGUGACAACACAGCCAGAUCAGCUGGAGCCCUGGACUGGAUUACACCCAGGAGCCGGGAAGGCAGCAGCUGUGUGCCAGUUCACUCUCAGCUCCCCAGAGCCUGCUGCCUCCUUGCUCCUAUGCACCCACCCCGUUCAUCUCUGCUCUGCCCACGACAGAGGGGCAGCAGCUGGCUCAGAGCAGGAAAACCGCCUGCGAUUUAACGUGGCUUUAUCAGCAACGCCGGGAACUAAUUUUCUCCUCUCAGCUCCUGUCAAGCAACACAGCCUGAAGCUCCCAACCCACCAGCCCUGCUCCAAGGGUAGAAGCCCUCCACAUGAAAAAAAAAAAAUCACCCUGGGUUGCCUUUGGAAAGAGGAUUUAUAUCUUUCUAGCCAAGAAAUCCGGUCUCGCUCUUCCCCACGCAUCUCCCUGCCUGCCAGCGUCUUUGUUCCCUGCCUGCAUUUCCCAGCCAGCUCGGGGGAGCGGGGCUGUGUUCCCUUGGCAGGCAGCUGUGCGCGGAUGCCGUGUGAGCCGCACAGCCAGCGCAGCAGAGGGAGCGCCACGCCGAGCCGUCCGCAACGCCAGCGGGGCUGCAAAGAACCACGGGCCACAGGCAAUUAG